rnacentral:rRNA from 1 species
UACGAGGGGUGCAAACGUUGCUCGGAAUCAUUGGGCGUAAAGCGCACGUAGGCGGCCUGUUAAGUCGGGUGUGAAAGCCCCGGGCUCAACCUGGGAAUUGCAUUCGAGACUGCGUGGCUAGGGUGCGGAAGAGGGAAGCGGAAUUUCCGGUGUAGCGGUGAAAUGCGUAGAUAUCGGAAGGAACACCAGUGGCGAAAGCGGCUUCCUGGUCCAGCACCGACGUUCAGGCACGAAAGCGUGGGGAGCAAACAGG